AGAGUUUGAUCAUGGCUCAGGAUGAACGCUAGCGGGAGGCCUAACACAUGCAAGCCGAGCGGUAUUUCUUCUUCGGAAGAGAGAGAGCGGCGUACGGGUGCGUAACACGUGUGCAACCUACCUUUAUCUGGGGGAUAGCCUUUCGAAAGGAAGAUUAAUACCCCAUAAUAUAUUGAAUGGCAUCAUUUGAUAUUGAAAACUCCGGUGGAUAGAGAUGGGCACGCGCAAGAUUAGAUAGUUGGUGAGGUAACGGCUCACCAAGUCUGUGAUCUUUAGGGGUCCUGAGAGGGAGAUCCCCCACACUGGUACUGAGACACGGACCAGACUCCUACGGGAGGCAGCAGUGAGGAAUAUUGGACAAUGGGUGAAAGCCUGAUCCAGCCAUCCCGCGUGAAGGAUGACGGUCCUAUGGAUUGUAAACUUCUUUUGUACAGGGAUAAACCUACUCUCGUGAGGGUAGCUGAAGGUACUGUACGAAUAAGCACCGGCUAACUCCGUGCCAGCAGCCGCGGUAAUACGGAGGGUGCAAGCGUUAUCCGGAUUUAUUGGGUUUAAAGGGUCCGUAGGCGGACCCGUAAGUCAGUGGUGAAAUCUCAUAGCUUAACUAUGAAACUGCCAUUGAUACUGCGGGUCUUGAGUAAAUUUGAAGUGGCUGGAAUAAGUAGUGUAGCGGUGAAAUGCAUAGAUAUUACUUAGAACACCAAUUGCGAAGGCAGGUCACUAAGAUUUAACUGACGCUGAUGGACGAAAGCGUGGGUAGCGAACAGGAUUAGAUACCCUGGUAGUCCACGCCGUAAACGAUGCUAACUCGUUUUUGGAUUUUCGGAUUCAGAGACCAAGCGAAAGUGAUGAGUUAGCCACCUGGGGAGUACGUCCGCAAGGAUGAAACUCAAAGGAAUUG
rnacentral:rRNA from 1 species